ACAUUGCAGGUUCAGUGGAGGAAUUCUCACCUUCCACAUGGGUGACCCAGGUUUGAUUCCUGGCCAAUGCA
rnacentral:tRNA from 1 species